rnacentral:rRNA from 1 species
UACGAAGGGGGCUAGCGUUGCUCGGAAUGACUGGGCGUAAAGGGCGCGUAGGCGGAUGGCACAGUCAGAUGUGAAAUUCCCGGGCUUAACCUGGGGGCUGCAUUUGAUACGUGUGAUCUAGAGUGAGGAAGAGGGUCGUGGAAUUCCCAGUGUAGAGGUGAAAUUCGUAGAUAUUGGGAAGAACACCGGUGGCGAAGGCGGCUCACUGGCUCGUAACUGACGCUCAGGCGCGACAGCGUGGGGAUCAAACAGG